UACGUAGGGGGCUAGCGUUGUCCGGAAUCAUUGGGCGUAAAGCGCGUGUAGGCGGCCCGGUAAGUCCGCUGUGAAAGUCCAGGGCUCAACCCUGGGAUGCCGGUGGAUACUGUCGGGCUCGAGUCCGGAAGAGGCGAGUGGAAUUCCUGGUGUAGCGGUGAAAUGCGCAGAUAUCAGGAGGAACACCGAUGGCGAAGGCAGCUCGCUGGGACGUGACUGACGCUGAGACGCGAAAGCGUGGGGAGCAAACAGG
rnacentral:rRNA from 1 species